UACGUAGGGUGCGAGCGUUAAUCGGAAUUACUGGGCGUAAAGCGUGCGCAGGCGGUUUUGUAAGCCAGAUGUGAAAUCCCCGGGCUUAACCUGGGAAUGGCAUUUGGGACUGCAAGGCUGGAGUGUGGCAGAGGAGACUGGAAUUCCUGGUGUAGCAGUGAAAUGCGUAGAUAUCAGGAGGAAUACCGAUGGCGAAGGCAGGUCUCUGGGCUGACACUGACGCUCAUGCACGAAAGCGUGGGGAGCAAACGGG
rnacentral:rRNA from 1 species